GAUGAACGCUGGCGGCGUGCCUAAUACAUGCAAGUCGAACGCAUUGAGAGAAGUGCUUGCACUUUUCAAUUUGAGUGGCGAACGGGUGAGUAACACGUGGGCAACCUACCUGAUAGCGGGGGAUAACGAGUGGAAACAUUCGCUAAUACCGCAUAACAAUAGAGAAGGCAUCUUCUUUAUUUAAAAGGCGCUUUCAAGCGUCACUAUCAGAUGGGCCCGCGGUGCAUUAGUUAGUUGGUGGGGUGAAGGCCUACCAAGACGAUGAUGCAUAGCCGAGUUGAGAGACUGAUGGGCCACAUUGGGACUGAGCCACGGCCCAAACCCCUACGGGAGGCUGCAGUAGGGAAUCUUCCACAAUGGACGAAAGUCUGAUGGAGCAACGCCGCGUGUGUGAUGAAGGCUUUCGGGUCGUAAAGCACUGUUGUAUGGGAAGAAAUGCUAGGCUAGGAAAUGAGCUUAGUUUGACUGUACCAUACCAGAAAGGGACGGCUAAAUACGUGCCAGCCGCCGCCGUAA
rnacentral:rRNA from 1 species